rnacentral:rRNA from 1 species
GGAUUAGAUACCCUGGUAGUCCACGCCGUAAACGAUGCACACUAGACGUCGAAGUUUCUGACAACAGCGGCGUCGAAGCAAAAGUACUAAGUGUGCCGCCUGGGGAGUACGGCCGCAAGGCUAAAACUCAAAGGAAUUGACGGGGGCUCACACAAGCGGUGGAGCAUGUGGCUUAAUUCGAAGCAACGCGAAGAACCUUACCCAGGUUUGCAUGCGCGGAUGUGCUCCGUGGAUAACUCGGAGUUACUGCCCUUCGGGGUGAAACGUGCACAGGUGUUGCAUGGCUGUCGUCAGCUCGUGCUG